rnacentral:rRNA from 1 species
CGCUAGCUACAGGCUUAACACAUGCAAGUCGAGGGGCAGCAUGGUCUUAGCUUGCUAAGGCCGAUGGCGACCGGCGCACGGGUGAGUAACACGUAUCCAACCUGCCGUCUACUCUUGGACAGCCUUCUGAAAGGAAGAUUAAUACAAGAUGGCAUCAUGAGUUCACAUGUUCACAUGAUUAAAGGUAUUCCGGUAGACGAUGGGGAUGCGUUCCAUUAGAUAGUAGGCGGGGUAACGGCCCACCUAGUCUUCGAUGGAUAGGGGUUCUGAGAGGAAGGUCCCCCACAUUGGAACUGAGACACGGUUCAAACUCCUACGGGAGGCAGCAGUGAGGAAUAUUGGUCAAUGGGCGAGAGCCUGAACCAGCCAAGUAGCGUGAAGGAUGACUGCCCUAUGGGUUGUAAACUUCUUUUAUAAAGGAAUAAAGUCGGGUAUGGAUACCCGUUUGCAUGUACUUUAUGAAUAAGGAUCGGCUAACUCCGUGCCAGCAGCCGCGGUAAUACGGAGGAUCCGAGCGUUAUCCGGAUUUAUUGGGUUUAAAGGGAGCGUAGAUGGAUGUUUAAGUCAGUUGUGAAAGUUUGCGGCUCAACCGUAAAAUUGCAGUUGAUACUGGAUAUCUUGAGUGCAGUUGAGGCAGGCGGAAUUCGUGGUGUAGCGGUGAAAUGCUUAGAUAUCACGAAGAACUCCGAUUGGGAAGGCAGCCUGCUAAGCUGCAACUGACAUUGAGCCUCAAAAGUGUGGGUACCAAACAGG